rnacentral:lncRNA from 1 species
AGUGCUAGUCACUCAGUUGGGUUUAAUUCUGUGACCCCAUGGACUAUACCCUGCCAGGCUCCUCUGUCCAUGGAAUUCUUCAGGCAAGAAUACUGGAAUGGGUAGCCUUUCCCUUAUCCAGGGGAUCUUCCCCACCCAGGGAUCCAACCCAGGUCUGCUGCAUUGCAGGCGAUUCUUUACCAGCUGAGCCACAGGGAAGCCCAAUUAAUAAGGGCACUUUUAAAAGAGAGACAGACAGGAAAAAAAAAAGAUUCAAAGCAAAAAAUUAAAACCCCAAACCCCUCUACUGCCUUACCAAAAUUAUCCCUGAGAAACAAUUACAUCGGCUGCUCUAUUCCUACUGUGGAGUAAGGGCCCCGAAGACAACUGUGGAGGAGGGAGCUGCCUGGAUUUUGCCCACAUUCUGAGUCUCUAGCCUCAGUUAAGAAAGAAAAAAACCUGUAGCAAUUAACCGUAGGAUACUGCAUGUGUCCUUUCGGUUUCAUUACUCAGAAACCUCACCCAUAACACAUGGCUGUAAAAACCUGCUCGCCUUUCAACUUUUAAGGAGCAGAGCAGGUUUCCGGAGGAACCAGACUCAAGGGGAGCCCCAGGGAAGAGCCAAAGCAGCUGGGAAUUUGAUACCCCGGUGCUCCAAAGCUAAAAGAAGAAUUAGAAGAAAGCUGCAUGAAUAAAGAUGGGAUCCUUCAUGAUACAGAAAAGACCUCAGCAGAAAUGCUGGCCCAAUGGGAGGAUGCUAUGUGGGAAAAGAAGCAAAUGGUUAAAGAAUUGCAGCAAAAGUUGGAGGACCGAGAAAAAACGUUCGAGAGAUUUAGAGACAAACUCACAAAGGAAAUGAGAGAAAGAGACGACCUUCUGAGAAAGAUGAAUGAGAGGAUUCAGAUGCUGGAACGCUUACUGAGGUUACUAGAAACACUAGAGGAACAGGACAUGAAGAAAGAAGAGCAGGCCAAAAGAGAGGCAGCUGAAAGGGAAAACGAGCCUCUUGAACAAAAGGUUAAAGAACUGCAGCAAAAAUCGGAGAACCAAGAAAAAGUCUUCGAAGUAUUAAGAGACAAAAUGACAGAGGAGUUGAAUGAAAGAGAGAAAGCCUCAGCAGAAGAGCAGAUCAGAAGAGAGGCUGUUGAGAGGGAAAAUGAGUCUCUUGAAAAACAGGUUAAAGAAUUGCAGCAAAAUUUGGAGGACCAAGGAAGAGUCUUCCAGAGAUUAAGAACUGAAAUGACAGAGGAGAUGAGAGAAAGUGAAAACGUCUCAGCAGAAGAGCAGAUCAGACGAGAGGCCACUGAGAGGGAAAAGGAGUCUCUUGAAAAACAGGUUAAAGAAUUGCAGCAAAAUUUGGAGGACCAAGGAAGAGUCUUCCAGAAAUUAAGAACUGAAAUGACAGAGGAGAUGAGAGAAAAUGAAAAGGCCUCAGCAGAAGAGCAGGCCAAAAGAGAGGCUGCUGAGAGGGAAAAGCUUUUAGAGCAAAAGCUUAAAGAAUUGCAACAAAAGUUUGAGGACCAAGAAAGAGCCUUCAAGGUAUUUAGAGUCCAAAUGACAGAAAAGGUGAGAGAAAGAGACAAUUUUCUGAGAAAGAUGAAUGAGAGGAUUGAGAUGCUGGAGGCUGCAGUGAACAAUGAUAAUGACAAGGAUAAUGAGGAAAACACUGAAAAGUACUGAACUUCAUAGACACAGGAAGAUAAUGACAAAGAAAAUACUUCACAGCCUUUUGUUUUAAUCUCAGUUUGGGAGAAUAUAAAACAUGUGUGGUCACUAAUUACUCAGAUUUUUUGUUUGUUUCUUUUAAAUUCUGGUAAUAUUAAAGUUUUCACAAGUGCUUUUUUGAUCUGGAUUAUUUCUAUCUAUGUAUGUACUUUUUCUUUUAUCAUUAAAGUUUUAAUGUAAAAAAUAGAAAAAUCAUCUACUAUAGAACAUCAAUUCCUGGCCCACAAAGGAAAGAAUUAGUGUGGCUGGAUAAUUAAUUUAAGUGGAAAUGGAAGCAACUGAGUAGAAGACAAAGAGGUCAAAUUUGUAAUAUCUUGAAAAAAAGAAAAAUUUUAUUAAGUAAUGCUUCUGAAAGUCACAUAUGAAUAAUUAUACAAAUGAAUAUGUAUACUGGUUUCUUGAGAGGAAAGGACUAAUUUCUUAUACAAAACAACUGUGUUACUUCACUUGUAAAUUUUAUGUGUUUUGAGUUAAAAUUUCACAAAAGCUGAUUGUAAAUUUUAAAUUGAGCUGAUCAAACACAUUAAAAAGCCAUGAAAAUUCAGAAGGGGUACAGGGUUUGGGAAGUUUUCAGCCAUAAUUUCUUCUAUAAAUGAAGUUUAUAGAACUGCAGUCAUUAGAACAAUGUGCCAUCAAGGCAUAAAUCUGAAGACAAAGAAUAACAGCAUGCUGCAUAGUCUAAAAAUAGAACCAACAACAUACCUGAUUAAGGUUGUGUGAAUAGUGUUGUUUCAGAUCAGUGAGACAAUAUAAACAGUACAUGAAGUGCUGUCAGUCUACUGGACAGCCAUAUAGAAUGAGAGUGCCUAGAUCGCUUAUAAAUCUUGCACAAAUAAUAUUCCAGCUUGACUUUAGAUUUAAACAUUAAAAAUAAUCUUGAUAAAAACAGUAAAUGUCAGAUAAUUAUAAAAUAAAUGUGGAAACUUGAAUUUAUUUUUAAGUGAC